UCCGACGCAGGGGACCCACCUUCCAGGCGAGGAGCGCGCGUCAGGGAACUCCGGGCUGGGGUGCGGGCUUGAGAAAUCAGGGAAACGAUUUGAGGGAAAAACUUUAUUGUUUCUAGAAGAGCCUCGAAGCAAUCACCGGAUGGGAAACCAGUUGGACGUCGUACUUACUUUCCGGGAGUCUGCAUGCUGACUGUGUUGUUGGCCAGCCUCAUGAGUGUAAGCUCUCUGACCACAUUCUGGAUCGUUACAGGAGGAGCCCCCAGACCUCAGCCCUCUAGCAGGAAUCACAAGAUAUGUGGCAGCCAAGAUUCCGCCCAGCCCCUCCCAUCGGACGCGAAGUCUACUCACUUUUUCAGUUGGUCCUGAGGUCCGCCGUCCACGCUGGAAUAAGGCAGGAUGCACCCGUAUCUAGAGGAGGCCGUGAGGGUGUCACAUCUACCGUACCUGCUAUGACGUCUAGUGUUACUGGCUGACCCCCCGACUACGAUGGAAGCCCGGGAGGGCAGGGCUUUUUGUCUGCACCGUUCACUGAAUUAAGCCAAAUGCCUAGAAAAGUGCCCGCACACAGUAGGUGCUUCGUAUGUACUGCUGAAUGAAUGAGCCCAACCAGCACCUUACAGAUGCCUGAGUGGGCCUGGGCCCUCAGCCAGCCCCCAGCCAGCCCUGCUCUGGCUACUCCCAGGAAGGACCCCUCAGACAGAAUCUGGAACCUCCUUUACAAAUGGGAAAACUGUUCUGCCCAGGGGCUGGAAGCAGAGAGCUUCUCCACGGGGCAGAGGAAAACCUUAAUUAAAACCACCCCAUCCCUCAGCAGCCCUUUCCACAGGGCCGGCGCAGGGCCGCACUGUCCACGCUUAUCCGACAGUCCUGACAGCCCUGGGAGGUCGGGCCUCUGGGCAGCCCGGCCUUCACGUGAGCACACUGAGGCUCCGAGAGGUAAAGCGACAUUCCCGAGACACACAGCCCGUGGGCGGGCGGGGAGCCGCUGUGCCGGGGAGGGGCGGGGCGCUCACCUUUGGAACAGCAGGUCCAGGACCCGCUGGGUGGUGGUGAAGGCUCGGUAGGUGCACAGGAAG